rnacentral:rRNA from 1 species
UGGGGAAUAUUGCACAAUGGGCGAAAGCCUGAUGCAGCAACGCCGCGUGAACGAUGAAGGUCUUCGGAUCGUAAAGUUCUGUCGCAGGGGAAGAUAAUGACGGUACCCUGUGAGGAAGCACCGGCUAACUACGUG